rnacentral:rRNA from 1 species
UCACACAAGAGACCCAAAUUAACCGUACUACCGGCGUAAAGAGUGGCAAUAUGUUAUCCCAAUGACUAAGAUCAAAGUACAACCAAGCUGUCAUAAGCCCAAGACGUAUCUAAAGCCACCCUCAAGACGAUCUUAGCGCCAACGACCAAUUUUAACCCACGAAAGCUAGGACACAAACUGGGGUUAGAUACCCCACUAUGCCUAGCCCUAAAUCCAGGUACUUACCAAACCCAAGUACCCGCCCGAGAACUACGAGCACAAACGCUUAAAACUCUAAGGACUUGGCGGUGCCCCAAACCCACCUAGAGGAGCCUGUUCUAUAAUCGAUAAUCCACGAUUAACCCAACCACCCCUUGCCAACACAGCCUACAUACCGCCGUCGCCAGCUCACCUCCACUGAGAGUCCAACAGUGAGCUAAAUAGUUACCCCACUAGCAAGACAGGUCAAGGUAUAGCCCAUGGGGUGGAAGAAAUGGGCUACAUUUUCUACCGCUAGAACAAACUUUACGAAAGGGGGUGUGAAAUCACCCCUAGAAGGAGGAUUUAGCAGUAAAGCAGGACAAUAGGGCCUACUUUAAACCGGCUCUGGGACACGUACAUACCGCCCGUCACCCUCCUCAUAAGCUAAACAAACCACAUAAAUAAUCUGCCAAACAGCCAAAGAUGAGGUAAGUCGUCGUAACAA